rnacentral:rRNA from 1 species
GACGAACGCUGGCGGCGUGCUUAACACAUGCAAGUCGAACGGAAAGGCCCUGCUUUUGUGGGGUGCUCGAGUGGCGAACGGGUGAGUAACACGUGAGUAACCUGCCCUUGACUUUGGGAUAACUUCAGGAAACUGGGGCUAAUACCGGAUAGGAGCUCCUGCUGCAUGGUGGGGGUUGGAAAGUUUCGGCGGUUGGGGAUGGACUCGCGGCUUAUCAGCUUGUUGGUGGGGUAGUGGCUUACCAAGGCUUUGACGGGUAGCCGGCCUGAGAGGGUGACCGGCCACAUUGGGACUGAGAUACGGCCCAGACUCCUACGGGAGGCAGCAGUGGGGAAUAUUGCACAAUGGGCGGGAGCCUGAUGCAGCAACGCCGCGUGCGGGAUGACGGCCUUCGGGUUGUAAACCGCUUUCGCCUGUGACGAAGCGUGAGUGACGGUAAUGGGUAAAGAAGCACCGGAUAACUACGU